rnacentral:ncRNA from 1 species
UACCUAUCCAGAGUGGUGGAGGGACAGGCCCGAUGAAACCCGGCAACCAGCGAAAGCAUGGUGCCAAUACCUGCGAAUUUUUUUCGCAAUGAUGGGAU